rnacentral:misc_RNA from 1 species
UCAAACUUGGUCAUUUAGAGGAAGUAAAAGUCGUAACAAGGUUUCCGUAGGUGAACCUGCGGAAGGAUCAUUAUUGAAUAAAUCUGGUGGGUUGUUGCUGGCUCUCUGGAGCAUGUGCACGCUCUCCACUUUUAUCCAUCCACCUGUGCACCUUUUGUAGUCUUGAGGGAAAUUGGUUUGUGGUCUUUAGUGACUGCAGUAUGCCCCCCUCAAGUCUAUGUUUUUCAUAUACCAUAUAGAAUGUUGCAGAAUGUAUUUGCUGGGCCGCUGUGCCUAUACAAACGUUAUACAACUUUCAGCAACGGAUCUCUUGGCUCUCGCAUCGAUGAAGAACGCAGC